GUCAGGUUGGCCGAGCGGUCGAAGGCGCCAGACUUAAGAGAUUGACGAGUCUUCUGGUCCACAUUUGUGGGCCUGGGUUCGAAUCCCACACCUGACA
rnacentral:tRNA from 1 species